UUUGUUUUCUUAGCUCUAGUCCUUGGGAGAGGAGUGUGUCUCGGCGGGCACAGCGCGUUCCCCAGACAAUGUUAGACACACGCCAACCCGAAGCCCGGCCAGCAUCCAGCUACCAGGCUGAAUUCCUUCCCGCUGCUCCUGGACACACACAAAAGGCAAACCCAGGUUGCCACAGCCUCCCAGAGGGAGGAAAGUCCAAGAUCAAGUCAACAGUACCUGGUAAAGAUUCUGUCUUCAUUCAAGGCGGCACCUUGAACAUUGUGUUAUCCAGGAGGAAGAAAUACCACCCAAAGGAGGAAGAAAUAACUUUCCAGCCCUGCUGAGUAGAGAAUUAAAUUUCCAAUGGAUGAAUUCUGGGGGACACAAGAUUUACAGCAAAGAGUUUGCAAUGAAUUUCAGAAGAGCCUUGGAUUUGGACUUUUGAAACUACAGGAAUUCUUGAGACUUCAAGAAGGGAUUAUUGAAUUUCUGCUUGCACGUGGGAUAGAUAGAUGUAUUAUGUUAGAUGGAAUUAUAAACUGGCUAUUGUCUUUAUUUAGAGAUUGAGUGUGAGAAAUUAAAUAUGGCUUUUCUUGUGCUUGGGGUUUCAAUGGACAAAAUGUGGCAGUUAGAAGACAAUGUCAACUUGGAUUGUCAUUGUGAUCCACCUUUAGGAUUACUGAAGCACAUUUCUCGUUAUUUCAAGAUGGCUCCUGGAGCUAUGCCUGCAGGCCUAUGUUUGAUCUCUUACACCUCCCUGUAUGCACUGUUCUACUACUCUGCUUUCUGAGUUUUGUAAGCAUCUUUCCUCUGACCUGGCUGUCCAACAUGGUGCUUCUGAUUAGAACCAGCCAACCUAGUAAAUCUCCUAACCCAUUAGCCAGAUUAAACCUCCCUCCUUUGA